GACGAACCGUGCGAACGUUGUUCGGAAUCAUUGGGCUUAAAGGGCGCGUAGGCGGGCCGCCAGGCCCGCGGUGAAAUCCCCCGGCUCAACCGGGGAAGUGCCGCGGGGACCGGCGGUCUGGAGUGAGAUAGGGGCGUGCGGGAACUGUGGGUGGAGCGGUGAAAUGCGUUGAUAUCCACAGGAACGUCCGGUGGCGAAGGCGGCAGCGCUGGAUC
rnacentral:rRNA from 1 species